AAGGGUAUAGCUCAGUGGUAGAGUGUGAGCUUAGCAUGCAUGAAGCCCUGGGUUCAAUCCCCAGCACCUCCA
rfam:Camelus ferus unplaced genomic scaffold scaffold1982, whole genome shotgun sequence.